rnacentral:rRNA from 1 species
UUGACUGGGGCGGUCUCCUCCUAAAGAGUAACGGAGGAGCACGAAGGUUGGCUAAUCCUGGUCGGACAUCAGGAGGUUAGUGCAAUGGCAUAAGCCAGCUUGACUGCGAGCGUGACGGCGCGAGCAGGUGCGAAAGCAGGUCAUAGUGAUCCGGUGGUUCUGAAUGGAAGGGCCAUCGCUCAACGGAUAAAAGGUACUCCGGGGAUAACAGGCUGAUACCGCCCAAGAGUUCAUAUCGACGGCGGUGUUUGGCACCUCGAUGUCGGCUCAUCACAUCCUGGGGCUGAAGUAGGUCCCAAGGGUAUGGCUGUUCGCCAUUUAAAGUGGUACGCGAGCUGGGUUUAGAACGUCGUGAGACAGUUCGGUCCCUAUCUGCCGUGGGCGCUGGAGAACUGAGGGGGGCUGCUCCUAGUACGAGAGGACCGGAGUGGACGCAUCACUGGUGUUCGGGUUGUCAUGCCAAUGGCACUGCCCGGUAGCUAAAUGCGGAAGAGAUAAGUGCUGAAAGCAUCUAAGCACGAAACUUGCCCCGAGAUGAGUUCUCCCUGACCCUUUAAGGGUCCUGAAGGAACGUUGAAGACGACGACGUUGAUAGGCCGGGUGUGUAAGCGCAGCGAUGCGUUGAGCUAACCGGUACUAAUGAACCGUGAGGCUUAACCUUACAACGCCGAAG